GGCAGAAUGGCUCAGUGGUAGAGUGUCUGCCUAGCAAGCAUGAGGCCUGAGUUCAAAUCACAGUACUGCCA